CUCUAAGGGUGUAAGGAGAGGAAGACUUCGGCAUCCUAUCUACAUCAAUGGCGUCUCAAUCAGGUACACCAUGUAUUCAGUUUUCUUGAUCUCCAUAUCCGAUGCAUAGCACGGUCCUUGCAAUUCCACAUAAAGCGAAUUGAGAAUAUAAUCAAGUUACCAAGCUUUCGGAGAUGCUCAUAACACCCGAUCGGCCGAUAGUGCCAAAAGUAGGCCGUAAUGCCGUCACACCACAACGGGCAGCAGGGUAAGUAAUGGAACCAGCUGUUUCUGACCCAACUGCAAAUGGAACCAGACCUACAACCAAAAUAAAUAAAAAGAGCAUCCUUAAUCUGUUUUUCUCAAAUGGCCCCACACAAAAGGUGACUAUACC